rnacentral:rRNA from 1 species
GUUGAACGCUGGCGGCAUGCCUUACACAUGCAAGUCGAACGGCAGCGCGGACUUCGGCCUGGCGGCGAGUGGCGAACGGGUGAGUAAUACAUCGGAACGUACCCUGUUGUGGGGGAUAACUAGUCGAAAGAUUAGCUAAUACCGCAUACGACCUGAGGGUGAAAGUGGGGGACCGGAAACGGCCUCAUGCAGCAGGAGCGGCCGAUGUCUGAUUAGCUAGUUGGUGGGGUAAAGGCCCACCAAGGCGACGAUCAGUAGCUGGUCUGAGAGGACGAUCAGCCACACUGGGACUGAGACACGGCCCAGACUCCUACGGGAGGCAGCAGUGGGGAAUUUUGGACAAUGGGGGCAACCCUGAUCCAGCAAUGCCGCGUGUGUGAAGAAGGCCUUCGGGUUGUAAAGCACUUUUGUCCGGAAAGAAAUCGCGCUGGUUAAUACCUGGCGUGGAUGACGGUACCGGAAGAAUAAGCACCGGCUAACUACGUG